rnacentral:rRNA from 1 species
AACGAACGCUGGCGGCGUGCUUAACACAUGCAAGUCGAACGGAAAGGCCCUGCUUUUGUGCGGUGCUCGAGUUGCGAACUGGUGAGUAACACGUAGGUAACCUGCCCUUGACUGUGGGAUAACUUCAGGAAACUGGGGCUAAUACCGGCUAGGAGCUCCUGCUGCUUGGUGGGCGUUGGAAAGUUUCGGCGGUUGGGGAUGGACUCGCGGCCUAUCAGCUUGUUGCUGGGGUAGUGGCUUACCAAGGCAUGGACAGGUGGCCGGCCUGGGAGGGUGACCGGCCCCGUCACGCUGGGACUACGGCACGGCCCCCUACGGGAGGCAGCAGUGGGGAGGAGUGUAUAAUGGGAGGAAGCAUGAUGUAGUCCAGCCGCGUGCGGGAAGACGGCAUGGGGGUUGUAUUCCGCUUCCGCCUUAGACGAAGUGUGAGUGACGGUACCGGGUAAAGAAGCACCGGCUAACUACGUG